rnacentral:tRNA from 2 species
GGGCCGGUAGCUCAGCGGGAGAGCACCUCGUUCGCAACGAGGAAGUCGGGGGUUCAAAUCCCCUCCGGUCCA